rnacentral:rRNA from 1 species
UACGUAGGCAGCAAGCGUUGUUCGGAGUUACUGGGCGUAAAGGGUGCGUAGGCGGUCCUAUAAGUAUGGUGUGAAAUCUCCCGGCUUAACUGGGAGGGUGCGCUAUAGACUGUGGGACUAGAGUGUGGGAGAGGACGCGGAAUUCCAGGUGUAGCGGUGAAAUGCGUAGAUAUCUGGAGGAACACCGGUGGCGAAGGCGGCGUUCUGGACUGUCUCUGACACUGAAGAA